CCGGGUUGGGCCCCUAAGUGUGACCCGCGGGUUGCGGAGCAAAUGCCUGGUAUUAUCCUUGCAGACUGACAUCUUGGUCCUCGGGAGGCGGAGCACCGUCUGGACCGAAUAUUCCAUGAAAGACCAGAAACUGGGUUGACUGGGAGUGAGUCAGAUUCAAUAUGUCCAUGUUGAUGGUGAAAUCCAUGCGGGGUCCUCUCAUGUCCAGUUGAGGGAGAGAACCAAUCGUCCACGCCGAGCAGCUCUGAGGGGAUGAGUGCCCUCCGUCUUGAAGUGUCAACAGGCGACAUAUGCACUGGGAGCAUGUAGCGUGGGGAUGGGGCUAGAGUCCACUCCACCGCACCCUUCGCCCAGCAGGGCAACUUCGGAAUGGACGCCUCUUUUGGUCAUGCGUAUCGCUCAUGGAACGGUCCAAGGUUCCGCAACCUUGAUCCUGAGUCCGGGCACGGUCCGAGACACCUCUGGGGCUAGUUAAGGGGGAACCCAAUGAAUAGAGACGUGUCAGCUCAAUUUGUAUGUGAGGGUUACUCCGGAGAGCAGACCCAGCACUUGGAUGCCAAAUCCGUCAGUUUGAUGUCCAGCUUGGACAGGGGCCGUUUUGCGGUUCUCAAAUCAACUAGGCGAUACCUAUAAGUCAUAUCGGUCCAUUCCCAAUGGGAAUUUAGUCUUCUCCACUUUCCAAGCUGUAACGCGCCAUUCGUCUCAAGGAAACAUCUGUGUCCGCGUGUCAUCGACAUCCAGUGGUAAGUCCCGGAUAGAGUGCAAACCCUGUGUCAGGUGUUUGCAGUGUCCUUUCCGGACUCCGUC